GCUAGUGACUGCCAUCGCUGCUGCUAGAGCAAAAAGACAACACCUUAAAGCAGUGAUGCUCAGUGACUCAGGGUUGUUGGAAGGAAUAAAUGGAAAGGAGAAUGAUGUAAGCUGUGUUGGAUCUCCACUGAGGAGAAAGGCAAGUUCCUGUACCCUGAUUCUCCCCUUACUGCCUCCUGUCUGUUGCAUCCUGCCCUUCUCAUGAUCCCAGGAGCUGAAAGAGGAAAGACAUCAUUGGGUUGCAUUUUUAUGACUCUGGGAAGCAACCAGGAUUUCUGACGCUUAUGGUCCCAAGAGGGUUGAGUGAUAUACUUGUUCUGAAAUACAGUUCUGCUCUGAGUGUCCUGGGGACUUUACCUUUCCAUUAGUCACUGAACAUAUGCAACAAUCAAGUCACAUAAACAUGAAUACUUUG